rnacentral:tmRNA from 2 species
GGGGCUGAUUCUGGAUUCGACGGGAUUUGCGAAACCCAAGGUGCAUGCCGAGGGGCGGUUGGCCUCGUAAAAAGCCGCAAAAAAUAGUCGCAAACGACGAAAACUACGUUUUAGCAGCUUAAUAACCUGCUUAGAGCCCUCUCUCCCUAGCCUCCGCUCUUAGGACGGGGAUCAAGAGAGGUCAAACCCAAAAGAGAUCGCGUGGAAGCCCUGCCUGGGGUUGAAGCGUUAAAACUUAAUCAGGCUAGUUUGUUAGUGGCGUGUCCGUCCGCAGCUGGCAAGCGAAUGUAAAGACUGACUAAGCAUGUAGUACCGAGGAUGUAGGAAUUUCGGACGCGGGUUCAACUCCCGCCAGCUCCACCA